UGGUGUUUAUAAAGAUGGUGUGCAUACGUUAGGAUUCUCCCAAACGGUCGCGUUCCUAUGAAUGCCAAAAAUGCUGGUUCCAACAAGACAACCUAGAGGGAGUAAAGAGAGAGAAAUUAUAUUUCCACAGUGUUAGUGCUUGACAUCUGUUUUGUUUCCUAUGAACAGAGUGAUAAUAUUGUCCAUGCUGCAAAAGGAUGCAUCCGCUGAGGCAGAAAGAGACACCAUCUGGCAGAGGUGUGGACUCGAGUCACAUGACUUGAACUCGAGUCACAAAUAUGAUGACUUGCAACUCGACUUUAACACCAAUGACUCGUGACUUGACUUGGACUUGAGCCUUAUGACUCAACCUGACUUGAUACCAUCCCCAAGCCCAAAUGUUAAAAAUUAUGCUAUUAAAAAAAGCGCAUCAACUCUUCAUUUAACGAUUACAGUUUGAAUCGGACAGCAGCCAAUCAAAUUGUGCCAGCUGAGAAAAAGUUGUGCGUGGCAAUGCAGAGGAACGUCGGCGGGUGAAUUCAGAUGGAGCCCUUGGAAAGAUAAUACCCCAAAUUAUUAUUUUCGGAUAUAAAGACGACACUGUAUCAACAAAAAACGGAUUGCAACUUGCAAAACAUGCGGGAAGAAAAUUACAGACGGAGGUGCAACAAUUUCCAACUUUGUUCGACAUUUGAAGCUGCACAAAUAACGGGCGCUGAUGACCUCGUCCCUGCAGAUUUGCUGGUGCUCCGGGUUGCAGGCCAGGCUGUACAGGGUCCAGGAGAUCCCACUGGCUGUGGUGUCAUGGCCCUCGAACAUGAAGGUGUCCACCUCCGCUCGGAUAGCCUCAUCCGACAGGCCCUGCUGAUCCUCGUCCUGGAUUGAAAACCAUAAGGAACAAUCAGAUCCUUGCAUGUUGUUUUUUAUUUUAUUUAUUUUUUAUUUUUUUGGCUUCAUUUUAUGGAAAAGGUAUAACUCACACACCUAUAGUGUUACUAGCCUGGUCCCAGAUCUGUUUGUGCUCUUGCCAACUCCAUUGCUUAUUUUCAAGCCAUGCGUUUGGCAUGACAAUGACUGACAAGGAGUUGGAUAGCACAAACAAACUGGCACUCAGGCUAUAGUGUUACCAGUGGCAUGGAGAGAGAAUAUAAUGAAUAGAAAAUCAACUCCAGCACACUUGCGAUCUUGAGGCUACGAUGAGUUUCUUUUCGAACUGGCUUCAUUCAAUGACAUAAUAUACCAUCGCCAUUGUAGCCGUUUUAACUAAUGACCUGGUUAGAUGACUGCAUAAAUGGCAUAAUGGUGGAUAAUAGUGUAGUAGCGUAAUAGAGGAGUUGUGACGUACUCGUGCGCAGAGCAGGAUAUCCAGAAAGUCCAGGUUUCUCUUAGCCUGUAUCCUGCCCAGUUCCUUUUCGUCCUUCAAGGCUUCUUUUCGCUUUCGUAUGAUUUCCUCUACAAGCAGAAGGCAUCAAUCAAAUUUUACAUCAAAUGUAUUUAUAAAGCCCUUUUUUUACAUCACAGAUGUCACAAAGUUCGAUACAGAAACCCAGCCUAAAACCCCAAACAGCAAGCAAUGCAGAUGUAGAAGCAUGGGGGCUAGGGAAAAACUCCCGAGAAACACAUCAUGGGAGAGCAUCAGACAUGGCAGCAGCAGCACAGCUCAUUCUUAUGACAUGGUUAUAACAUGGUUAAGCCUAUAGCUGUACACGAAUACAAGAUGUAUAAUCAAUGGAAAAUGCAUACAUGCUGCUUUUUUAGGGUAUAUUUGCUUUGUCAAAUUCAUACAUCUAAAUGUUUUCAGGGGAUUAAGAUAAUCAUUUCAACCUUCAUUCACAGAACACACCUGUAUGACUGUGUGCAACAUUGCAUGCUUUCCUGUAUUUGUACCCAUGUGGGCUAAGUUGGAAGAUCCACUCGCUGUGGUAGGGAAAGAUCCGGAAGCGGACAUUCACCAGAUCACUGAGCUCGUACACAGCCUUGAUGUACGAGUUGGUUCCACUGAAACGAGAGAAAAACAACAGAAAAGUAUAAGUUACUUCCUCUCAAUCAUGGCUGAUAGGCAGGGCCUUGGGUUUUUCCUGAUCAUGUGAUCUGGCCCGAAAACCUCUGGGCCCGUAUUCACAACAAGUCUCUGAGUAGGAGUGCUGAUCUAGGAUCAGGUCCCCUCUGUCUUUAUAUUCGUAUUAAUUAUGAUCUAAAAGGGAAAUCUGAUCCUAUAUCGGCAGUCAUACUCUGAAACUUUCACGAAUACGGGCCCUGGGCCCUAGUUAAAGAACAAGAAAGAAAAGCAUUAGUAUUGGGUUGGGGCUUUUACGCUGACAAGACAAGAUAUUCAACAUGGGCAGAUGUAAAUGGCAGAUGAUGCAGUGGUUAAAAACAUUUAACUGACUAACCUCUCUCCCCCUUGCACUGUCUGGCAGUUAGUGUUGGAGCUGAAGGCACACUUCAUAAUGCUGUCCAGUGUCAUGAGGCUCACAUGCUCAAAUAACUCAAAUGACUCGUCGAAUUUUGAGUGAGUCUCCCAUUUGUCCUGGAACAGAAAGAUGACAGACAUAGUCAACUUGCACAAGAUGGACAGUGACAUAUAGUACAUCACUGUAACGCCCUGGCCAUAGAGAGGGGUUUUUGUUCUUUAUUUUGGUUAGGCCAGGGUGUUACAUUGGGUGGGCGUUCUAUGUUCUUUUUCUAUGUUUUUGUAUUUCUUUGUUUUGGGCCGUGUGUGGCUCCCAAUCAGGCACAGCUGAAGUUCGUUGUUGUUGAUUGGGAGUCACACAUAAGUGCAUGUUUUUCCUUUGGGGUUUUGUGGGUAAUUGUUUCUGUUAGUGUUUGCACCUGACAGGACUGUUUUGGCUGUCAGUUGUUCUUGUUUUUGUAUAGUGUUCUCUUCGUUGUUAUUAAAUUCAAGAUGAACACCAA